CCCCUUGUGUGUGGUCCGCCUGUGCAGUAAAUGGUUCGGUAAGCCCCAAUUACCGAGCCAUAUGGGAAAAAGCCAUGUACAAGUUAUUUUCACAGUCUGGGGACUCUGGGGACACAGUUUUAAAGGGGCAUUGUUCCAAUUCUCCCUGUGUCCCAAAAAUGUGCUUAAAGGGCCAGCACCAGUCCCAUAAAAGUCCAUAAGCCCCAAUAAUGUUUUUAAAGGGCCAUACACCCCGGGCCAUAG